rnacentral:rRNA from 1 species
AGGGUUCGAUUCUGGCUCAGGAUGAACGCUAGCGGCAGGCCUAAUACAUGCAAGUCGGACGGUAAAUGCCCCUUCGGGGGCAUGAGAGUGGCGGACGGGUGCGCAACGCGUAUGCAACCACCCCCGACGGGCGCACAGCCGGUGGAAACGCCGGGUAAUGCGCCAUGCGCCCUAGAGGGGGCAUCCCCUUUCGGGCAAAGCCAUAAGGCGGUCGGGGACGGGCAUGCGUCCCAUUAGCUGGUAGGCGGGGCGACGGCCCACCUAGGCUACGAUGGGUAGGGGAUCUGAGAGGACGGUCCCCCACACUGGUACUGAGACACGGACCAGACUCCUGCAGGAGGCAGCAGUAAGGGAUAUUGGGCAAUGGGGGGAACCCUGACCCAGCCAAUGCCGCGUGAGGGAAGUAGGCCCUACGGGUCGUGAACCUCUUUUAUACGGGGACAAGGACGGCGUCGCGAACGCCGUUUGAGGGUACCGUAGGAAUAAGCGUCGGCUAACUCCGUGCCAGCAGCAGC